rnacentral:rRNA from 1 species
GAGUCCAUCAAGUUGUGGCCAUGCAAAGUGAUUUCAGUCAAUAGUGAUCGGACGAUGACUGUGGUGAAGUACAAUGGUGAGGAGAGGCAGUUCACAGCCGAAGAAAUAUCCUCCAUGGUGCUUGUCAAGAUGAGGGAGACAGCUGAGGCCUACCUCGGCACCACGGUGAAAGAUGUUGUCAUCACCGUCCCAGUCUACUUCAACGACUCGCAGCGCCAGGCCACCCUCGAUGCCAGUCUCAUUGCUGGCCUCAACGUCACACGCUUCAUCAACGAGCCCUCUGCCGCAGCCAUCGCCUACUGUCUUGACGACACGUCCCUUAGUGGUGAAGCGAAGACGGUGCUCGCCCUGGACAAUAUGUUAGUUACAGGGCGUCUUCCUGCUCAUAUAUUUGAUUUUGGUGGUGGUACUCUGGAUAUCUCUGUCAUAAACAUUGACAAAGGCACAUUCACGGUCAAGGCCACGUCCGGUGAUACCCACCUUGGAGGGGAGGACCUCAACAACAGAAUGGUGGAACACUUCGUGCAGGAAUUCUUGAAGAAACACAAGAGUGAUAUCGGUGGCAGUCCGAGGGCGCUGAUGCGGCUUAGGACGGCCUGCGAGAGGGCCAAGAGGAUGCUGUCUUCCACGGCGCAGGACAUGUUCGAGAUCGACUCACUCCAUGAUGGCCUCCAUGGAUCCAUCACUCGCGCCCGGUUCGAGGAGCUCAACAUGGAUCUCUUCCGCAAGUGCAUUGAGCAUGUGGAGAAGUGCCUCGGUGACGCCAAGAUGGACAAGUCACAGAUCCAUGACGUUGUGCUCGUCGGCGGCUCCACCAAGAUCCCCAAGGUGCAGCAUAUGCUGCAGGAUUUCUUUGACGGGAAGAUGCUCUGCAAGAAAAUCAAUCCAGACGAGGCCGUCGCCUACGGGGCUGCUAUCCAGGCCGCCAUCCUCAACGGCGAAUACGACCAGAAGGUGCAGGACUUGCUCCUGCUUGACGUCACACCUCUCUCGCUCGGGGUGGAGGUAGUAGGUGGUAUCAUGAGUGUGCUGGUACCCAGGAACACCACCAUCCCCGUGAAGAUGGACGGGAAUUACACGACCAAUGUUGACAACCAGACGAACAUACUCAUCAAGGUGUACGAGGGUGAAGGGGCACUGACCAAAGACAACAGGCCUCUGGGCGAGUUCACGCUCAAUGGCAUCCCUCCAGCGCCGAGGUGCGUGCCAAAGAUAAUUGAAAGCAUCGAAGUCGAAGCAAACGGCAUCCUGAAGGUGUCCGCGGAGGACAGGACGACCAGAAACAAGAAAAGCAUCACCAUCACCAGCGAUAGGGGUGGGCUGAGCGCGGAGGAGAUCGAGCGGAUGUUGCGUGACGCCAACACGUACAAAUCCGACGACAAGAAGCAGAUGAUGGAAGUCAAAAAGGAACGUUGA